rnacentral:misc_RNA from 1 species
CACCCCUCAAGCUCUGCUUGGUGUUGGGGGAACCUCGCCCCGGUUUUGGGGCGCCCCCGAAAAUCAGCGGCGGUGCGGCCGAACAUCUCUAGCGCAGUGACAUCAAAAUUUCUCGCUACGGAUUUCGUGCAGAGCGCCACGCCGAAAACCAUUUCUCUUGA